rnacentral:rRNA from 1 species
AGCGAACGCUGGCGGCAGGCUUAACACAUGCAAGUCGAGCGGGCGUAGCAAUACGUCAGCGGCAGACGGGUGAGUAACGCGUGGGAACGUACCUUUUGGUUCGGAACAACACAGGGAAACUUGUGCUAAUACCGGAUAAGCCCUUACGGGGAAAGAUUUAUCGCCGAAAGAUCGGCCCGCGUCUGAUUAGCUAGUUGGUGAGGUAAUGGCUCACCAAGGCGACGAUCAGUAGCUGGUCUG